rnacentral:rRNA from 1 species
AGUCAACGCUGGCGGCGUGCCUCAGACAUGCAAGUCGAACGCGAAAUUUCCCUUCGGGGAGAAAGUAGAGUGGCGCACGGGUGAGUAACACGUAGGUAAUUUGCCUUUGGGUGGGGAAUAACUCAGGGAAACUUGAGCUAAUACCGCAUAAUGCAGCGGCUCGACAUCGAGACAGUUGUUAAAGCGGGGAGUCGCAAGACCUCGCGCCUGAAGAGAAGCCUGCGGCAGAUUAGCUAGUUGGUAGGGUAAUGGCCGUACCAAGGCAACGAUCUGUAACCGGCCUGAGAGGGCGGGUCGGUCACACUGACACU